rnacentral:lncRNA from 13 species
CUCCUCUCUACUCCAGGGAGGCCUGAAGGUUGUACCACCAGCAGGCAGUGUGCACACUGGUGGCUGUUGGGUGAGGAAGCCCCAGGGAGAGCCCCAGGGAGAGCUGAUGGGGAGAACCACACCCACCUGCAGCCUCAGCCAGUCCAGGACUGGCAGCUCUUGAGGGUACAGAGACGCCCUGUCCCUGCCCAGGCCCAGGUCUCGGGACCAUGUGGAGGAAGGACAACUGCCGCCCAUGCGGGUCCCGGAGGAGGUGCCGGGAGGGGGUCUCGGACGUUGAAGCUGAAUCCACCACGCGGUGCCCGCGGGCCCGUGAGUGACAUCACCGCGACGCUGCGCCUGGA